GUGGGGAAUAUUGGACAAUGGGCGAAAGCCUGAUCCAGCCAUGCCGCGUGUGUGAAGAAGGUCUUCGGAUUGUAAAGCACUUUAAGUUGGGAGGAAGGGCAGUAAGUUAAUACCUUGCUGUUUUGACGUUACCGACAGAAUAAGCACCGGCUAACUUCGUGCCAGCAGCCGCGGUAAUACGAAGGGUGCAAGCGUUAAUCGGAAUUACUGGGCGUAAAGCGCGGGUAGGUGGUUUUGUAAGUUGGAGGUGAAAUCCCCGGGCUCAACCUGGGAAUUGCAGUGGAUACUGGAUCACUAGAGUGUGGUAGAGGGAUGCGGAAUUUCUGGUGUAGCGGUGAAAUGCGUAGAUAUAGGAAGGAACACCAGUGGCGAAGGCGACUACCUGGACUGAUACUGACACUGAGGUGCGAAAGCGUGGGGAGCAAACAGGAUUAGAUACCCGGGUAGUCC
rnacentral:rRNA from 1 species